rnacentral:rRNA from 1 species
GAUGAACGCUGGCGGCGUGCCUAAUACAUGCCAGUCGAGCGAACAGACGAGGAGCUUGCUCCUCUGACGUUAGCGGCGGACGGGUGAGUAACACGUGGAUAACCUACCUAUAAGACUGGGAUAACUUCGGGAAACCGGAGCUAAUACCGGAUAAUAUAUUGAACCGCAUGGUUCAAUAGUGAAAGACGGUUUUGCUGUCACUUAUAGAUGGAUCCGCGCCGCAUUAGCUAGUUGGUAAGGUAACGGCUUACCAAGGCAACGAUGCGUAGCCGACCUGAGAGGGUGAUCGGCCACACUGGAACUGAGACACGGUCCAGACUCCUACGGGAGGCAGCAGUAGGGAAUCUUCCGCAAUGGGCGAAAGCGUGACGGAGCAACGCCGCGUGAGUGAUGAAGGUCUUCGGAUCGUAAAACUCUGUUAUUAGGGAAGAACAAAUGUGUAAGUAACUAUGCACGUCUUGACGGUACCUAAUCAGAAAGCCACGGCUAACUACGUG